CGUGUGGUUUAAUUCGACGCAACGCGAAGCACCUCACCCAGGUUUGACAUGCCGCUGCAAGCGCACGGAAACGUGUGACCUUCGAGGGUGCGGCACAGAUGCUGCAUGGCUGUCGUCAGCUCGUGUCGUGAGAUGUUGGGUUCAGUCCCGCAACGAGCGCAACCCCCGGUGCCAGUUACAUGUGUCUGGCACGACUGCUGCCCGCGAGGGCAGAGGAAGGCGGGGAUGACGUCAAGUCCGCAUGGCUCUUACGCCUGGGGCGACACACACGCUACAAUGGUCAGGACAGCGCGCCGCGACUCAGCAAUGGGCAGCAAAUCGCAAAACCUGAUCUCAGUGCAGAUCGGGGGCUGAAACUCGCCCCGUGAAGGCGGAGUUGCUAGUAAC
rnacentral:rRNA from 1 species